UCCCUAUAAAAUGUUAAGAAAUGCUUUAGAAUCUUGAGAUUAAAGAACUAGUAACAUAGAAAGUAUCUAACGCUUAUCAUAGUUAUAUAUAUAGAGCUAUUUUUUUAAAAAUGCUGUUUUUACCUGUUAUUAAUGAUCAUUCCUUAAAAUCAAGAUACUGCUAAGUUAAGGUAUAUUUAAUGCCAUACAAGGCAAAAAAGUUGAAGAAAAAUACUACUUCUCUGUGGUAUUUUUAAUUAUAUUUGAGGCACUGAAUGAGUACAGAGUCAUACAUUACAAGUUGGGAAGUUAGGCUACAAAGUAAGAGUGUCACUUUUGGAAUUACUUCCCCUUUUUUGGCUACUUUCCACAUUUAGGCCUCCUUCUGGACUUAGGACAGGAAACAAUUCUAGAAAGUCUUCCUUCACUUCCUCAGGCUGCAUUAAGGAUUCAUGCAAUGUGCUUACAUAUCAGCUUAUAUACCUUCAGCACAGGCAAUAUAACGUGGUAUUGUAGGUAUGGUAGGUAUUUGUCAUUCCCUCUAGAUGUGAUGAUUUUUUAGUACAGAUAUUUGUAUUUGUACUAUCAGCAUCUGCAGUGCCUGUUACACACAAGAAACUCAAUAAAUAUUGAAUGAAUGAAUGAAUAUACAAAUAAAGUUACUUAAUUCUUCCAAUAUUCAUAGGAAGGACAAAA